CCUUACGGGGAGGCAGCAGCAAGGAAUCUUCCCCAAUGGACGCAAGUCUGAGGGAGCAACGCCGCGUGGAGGAUGACGGCCUUCGGGUUGUAAACUCCUUUUCGGUGGGAUGAUGAUGACAGUACCACCGGAAUCAGCCCCGGCUAACUCUGUGCCAGCAGCCGCGGUAAGACAGAGGGGGCAAGCGUUGUCCGGAAUUACUGGGCGUAAAGCGCGCGCAGGCGGCCCAUGAUGUGCCUGGUGACAGUCCGCCGCUCAACGGCGGGAGGCCUGGGUAGACAGGUGGGCUAGCGGCAGGGAGAGGGCAGUGGAAUACCCGGUGGAGCGGUGAAAUGCGUAGAGAUCGGGUGGAACACCAGUGGCGAAGGCGGCUGCCUGGCCCUGAAACGGACGCUGAGGCGCGACAGCGUGGGGAGCAAACGGGAUUAGAUACCCCGGUAGUCCACGCCGUAAACGAUGUGGAGCCGGUGCUGGGGGGUGAUUGCGCCCGUCGGUGCCUAAGCUACGCGAUGACUCCACCGCAUGAUUAGC
rnacentral:rRNA from 1 species